AUGAUGUACAAGGUUGUUCGGAUGCCGAGAGAUUUUAUAUAUGCAUGCGACCAUGAGAUUUUGGUCCUAUCUAGAGAUAUUCUGUUAGGAGAGAUCCAAUAUCUGCAAAUUUCUGAGAGUUUGGAUUUGUUUGGAGAGAUGUCAUCUUUGUACAGUUUUUUUGUGGGAAGGAUCUUCAGAGUUUGGUCAUGUUUCUUACCCUGUACGCCCCAUUUUUUAUUAUAUGGGAUGGUCUGGCCGCUCGUGGGAUGGUGCUGGCCUGUUUUUUUAGUUAAUGGUCCAGCCUAUCAUGAGUUUGUGUACAGGUCCAACCUGUUAUAG
rnacentral:rRNA from 1 species